rnacentral:rRNA from 1 species
GUGGGGAAUCUUGCGCAAUGGGCGAAAGCCUGACGCAGCCAUGCCGCGUGAAUGAUGAAGGUCUUAGGAUUGUAAUAUUCUUUCACCGGGGACGAUAAUGACGGUAGCCGGAGAAGAAGCUCCGGCUAACUUCGUGCCAGCAGCCGCGGUAAUACGAAGGGGGCUAGCGUUGCUCGGAAUUACUGGGCGUAAAGGGCGCGUAGGCGGACAGCUUAGUCAGAGGUGAAAGCCCAGGGCUCAACCUUGGAAUUGCCUUUGAUACUGGCUGUCUUGAGUUUGGGAGAGGUGAGUGGAACUCCGAGUGUAGAGGUGAAAUUCGUAGAUAUUCGGAAGAACACCAGUGGCGAAGGCGACUCACUGGCCCAAUACUGACGCUGAGGCGCGAAAGCGUGGGGAGCAAACAGGAUUAGAUACCCUGGUAGUCC